GGUGCCGUGUUGUGCUGCUGUGUGGGACCUCAGUGACGGGGAACCAGUCAUCAACACCACCUGGAGAGGACUGGCACCAUGUUGUGGCUGACUGCUGAGAGAUGCACCAACAAGCAGCACCACAGUGAACAGUGCCGUCUGCCCCGAGCCAGAGUGGUGACAACUCUGUCACCUUGCCCCAGCACAGUGCAGCAGCCAACAAGCUGCACCACAGUGAACAGUGCCAUCUGCCCUGAGCCAGUGGUGACAACCCUGUCACCUUGCCCCGGCACAGUGCAGCAGCGGUGACUUGGGCCGCCACAACCGACCAUCAACAGGAUUAGCAAGGAGACGCUGUGUGAAGGUUUGUCAAGUUUGGGUAUGAGUGGACUGCUACUCCCCUGCCUGCAUCCUCAUCCAGGCCCACAGACACACCACAGCGGCGCUCCGGCCGGCAGGCUACUCCUAGAAGCUUUCUCUGGCCCUCGCACUGAAAAGGUUGCCGACCCCUGGAGUACACUUGACACCAGACAGAGGAUACUGGGAAAGGUGCUGCAGUGGACCAGUAUUGGCUGCUGAUGAUGAUGAUGACUGAGCGUGGCGCGCUGAGCAUGGCCGUGCGGCGCUUGGCGGAGGAGGCAGCGGCUGUGUCCUCCUGGGUGCUGAGGUCCAGCAUCUGUCUGUGUCUGCAGGGCAGGAUGGGACACAUGUGCUCCCCAGCAGGGGCAGCAGGCCACCUGUCUG